GAGGCGGCCAUGGCAAGGCAGAGACUGGUGGUGCAGGUGGCGGACCUAAGAUUGAGGAAGUUGACUAAGGCAUGAAUGAGAGUCAUAAAGUGCUCUCAGUUUUGGGACUCAUCUAUUGUGGCUUCGUUUUUGCUUAUGCUCAAGGGCGAAUACCUGUGUAUGAUAUACAUUAGGUUUGAGGGGUUGCUCAUGUUACUAUAGUGAUGUAAUCUAUUGUUGUCUGAAUACUCUGCGAUAUACCUAUAGUUUAAUCUAUUGAUUAAUAAUAUUUUCAUAUUUCAAAUCUCUGUAUGAGUAUUUUACUUUAGCUAAUUUUCGGUAUUUUACGAAUCAACGAGUCUUAAGGCCGUAAAUUAAGGUUGAUGUAUUUAUUUUUCAUUUUUCUCCGUGGUUUAAGAUAUUUAUUAUUAGUAUAAAUAUCCCUCUCUUAUAGCAUUUGAAAGCAAAUUCAAGUUUAAUAAUAUUUUCAGAUUUCAAAUCUCUGUAUGAGUAUUUGAGUUUAGCUAAUUUUCAGUAUUCUACGAAUUAACGAGUCUUAAGGCCGUAAAUUCGCUAUAUUCUUUUAAAUCAAUAUGAAUUUAGUUUGUUCUUUUAUUAUAGUAUUCUCUAGAAUUAACGAAAUAUUUUAAACAUUAAACUUUCACUGCAUUAGUUUAGUAUCAGAGUUAAAAACUUGGUUACCAAUCUAACCCUAUCUACCACAAACCUUUUCUUUUCCCCUUUUUGAUUUUUUCGUUUAGCUGUAUAAAAAAAAUUGAAAUAGAAAUGUCAGCCCCACGUCGCCCACCGUCCAAGGCUGCUGGCUUUUAUUUUUUGUCACCUAUCCAAUCGUAACCACCACCAUUCCAACUAGAAAGAACCGGCCAUCAAACCCCGAGCAAAGGGCACCACUAGUUGGCCACAUAUCAUCGAAAAAUAGCCAAAACAUCCACAAUUUAGCCAACACCACUACUAUUAAUCCACUCCGCUUCAAGCUUAAUUUUUCUCACCAUUCCCUACCACCGAUUGACGAACUGAUUGCUAGAAUCAAAGCUAACCCUAAACCAUCGCCUUUAUCUCCAAUUUUCGGCCAAAUCACUACAUAUUUUGACAAACCAACACCACCAUUAUACUCACCCACCCGAAAAUCUUUUAGAUCCACCCAUUUUUUGCUUGAUUUCCGACCACCGUCACUAGAAACUUAAACUUUUACUUAAUUACAAUUUUGCUCAGAAUUUUACUCAAUUUUUAGUUUAGCCCCAAAACCUUUUUAAAAAAACAAAUUGGGAAAGAAUGCCUCCAAGAAAAACCCGUGGGCAUGCCUUUCAUGCAGUAACUUAUGACAAGGAUGAUGUUCUUAGAGAUGAAGUUAUGGUUAUCAUGGCAGCUAAGAUUGAUAUGUUAGCUGCACAAAUAACAAAGUUAUUUGCCGAAUGUAAUCGUACACCAGAAUGCAAAGAUAUGUCAAGUGAAAGUUUCCCUAACCCAUUCCCCAGGCAUCGACAUAUAACUGAGUCUACUGAUGACAAAAGAUGAGAAUCUAGGUUGAGAAUUGACAUUCCUGAAUUGCAGGGAAGUGGUCGGCCCUAAGAAUUAUUGGAUUAGAUUAAUGCCAUCAAAGAAGUUUUUUAAUAUAAAGAAAUUCUUGAUAAUAAACUAGUCUCGCUUGCUGUAACUCGAUUUCGUGGAAGGGCAGCAGUUUGGUGGCAAUAAAUUAAGCUUAUAAGGAUUAGACAAGGCAAAAAGAAGAUUAACUCUUGGGAAAAUUUAAAGAAACACUUAUGUGGAGCAUUCUUACCUCACAAUUACACCAAACUGUUAUACCAAUAGCUACAAAAUUUAAGGCAAGGUAAUUGAUCAGUAGAUGAUUACACCACAUAAUUCCAUUGGUUGAUAGCGCACAAUGACUUGACAGAGUCAGAAAAACAACAAGUUUUCCGCUACAUUGGAGGCCUACGAUCACAGUUUCAAGACCAGUUGAAUUUACUGGAUCCACAUUCUAUCUUAGAAGCACACCAACAAGCUUCACAAUUUGGGGAAGUAAUUUAGUCCGUGUACUAGUGACUCAAACUUUUAGGGUCCUCGAAGUAUUUUUCGAGAUAAUUCAAACCCAACUUCCCAAUUUCAUAAUUUCACUCCUCAAUCCUCUAAAUAAAGCUAGUAAAUCUAGUGAAAAUGGUCAAAGCAGCAAAACACAAUCCUCGGGUUUGGGAUUACACUACUUUAAUUAGGGAGAAAGUGGGCACCAAAUGACAGUGUAAAAAAGAACAAAAAUACAGUAAAAACUUAUUCGUAAGCACUGAGGAAAGUGAAGACUACCAAGAGGAAGAAACUGAAGAGCCAACUUUUGAUAGUAGUGGUAGCGCACGAUCCAUUGAAGAACAUGGUGAUAACAUACCAAUGUUGAUCGUAAAUCGCUCAUUCUUCAUUCUUAAAGGUCAAGACAAAGACAAGUGGUUUCAAAAAAUUAUUUUUUAGACUACUUACACAAUUAGGAGAAAAAUAUGUCGUAUGCUAAUAGACUCAAGUAGUUAUGAGAAUGUUAUUUUAGAAGAAGUUGUAACGAAACUAAAUUUAAAAACAGAACCUCGUCAAACUUCGUACAAGCUCACACGUUGAAGAAAAAAUGUCAAGUAACAGUGUCUAGACGUUGCUUAGUUUCUUUAUCCAUUUGAUCAAUCUAUAAAGACCAAAUAUGGUGUAAUGUUGUGGCUAUGGAUGCUUGUCAUCUAUUACUGGGCAGACCUUGGUAGUCUGAUUGAAAUGUAGUGCAUAAAGGAGAAAGAAAUACCUAUAGUUUUAUGUUUAACAACACUAAGAUCGUUUUCCUUCUUAACAAGGAGCUCACUCUCAAAUAAGACUUAGGUAACUAUUUGUUAGGUAAGAAGCAGUUUAUAGAUGUUGUAACAAAGAUAAAGAGGGUCGAUAUUUGUUGGAAAAAGAGAGUUACAGUAAUUCGAAGAUUCCUGAAGCUGUGACAUCUAUACUAGAGGAGUUUUAAAAUUUGUUCCCUAACGAGCUACCACAAGGUUUACCACUUAUUGAGGAUAUACAACUCUAAAUUAAUUUGGUACCAGAUUCUACAUUAUCAAAUUGACCUCGUUAUCAUAUGAGUCCUACAGAACAUGAGGAAUUUAAGGCAUAAAGUGAAAGAGUUACUAGAAAUUGGAUUUAUUCGUGAAAGUCUCAAUUUAUGUGUGGUCGCUGCAUUGUUGACUCCAAAGCAGGAUGGUUCUUGGAGAAUGUGCAUGAAUAGUCAAGCUAUCAAUAAAAUUAUAGUUCGAUUUCAUUUUCUAAUUCCUCGAUUAGAUGACUUAUUGGAUUAGAUCAGUGGAGCAAUAGUUUUUAUCAAACUUGAUUUGAAGAGUGGCUACCAUCAGAUUUGAAUACGACCUGGAAAUGAAUGGAAAACAAUCUUAGAAGUUAGAAGGAAGUAGCUUUUUGUCACAAAAAAAACAGGGCAUCUAUUCACAUGAAGCAGCUCACCUGUAAAGGACAAUAACCCAUCCUAUCUACUGUAAAGUUCACCAAAACAUGGUGCAUAAUCUUAAAACAGCUCACUUGUUAUUACCAUAGACUUUCUAAAAGCUCACUAAUGUUUUUUCAGCUAGGCAAAGGGAUAAGAAAACUAACGGUAAAGCCAAUUUGACGGUAUAAAGAGAGUCUUAAAUUGGAAAAAGUUCUUCAUAACCAAAGUAUAUCUAAACUCAAGCUCUAUCUCGCUCACCCACAAAGAAAAUCACAACUAUGAUAUCCAAAUAAUUCCUUUCUCAUUUCAUCAUGUAAAUGGCAUACAAAGAUGUGAGAAUUCAAAUUUAGACAAUUGAUAAUUACCCAAAACCACAGCAUGUGCACCUCAUAACCCACAAUUUUUAACCAAACCUAACUGAUCCCCAAAAUAUAUUAGUAAAUUAAUUAACAAAAUAUAUAUAUAAUAGGAUUCUUUUUCAAUUUCUUAGUAAUAUUUACUACUUUACGUAAAAGUAGAAUGAAUAGUGAAAAUUAUAAUUACUAGUAAGGAGUGGUGGGAGCAAAUUCUGCCCAUCUAAAUCUCGAGCCUUGCCACUUCAGAAUUCUAACAAUAAAUCAGUUAGCUUUAGGCAAUCUAAUUGAUGAAAUGAAAAUUAAAUACCUGUAAAUAUAGUAGUGACUUACUAGAGGGAGUGAUGCUUCAAUUGAUAGUGAAAGCUAAGGUUUCAAUUUCGGCAACUGUGAUUUUGUUCUUCGUUCAUGGCAAGAGAUUGGGUUUCUUUCAGCUAUCAAAAGUGUCGUGGUUUUUUUCUCAUUUUGAUUUGGGUUUCGUCAAGACUAGUUUCACUGGAGCAAAGAGAGAUGAUUGAGUGACAAUGUCAAAUACGUAGGGCAUUGAAAAUAGCAGCGAUAAUGAUAGUCAUUGAGAAUAGCGUUGAACUGCGAGUGUUUUGGUGUCAUUAGCAAAGAGAGAUGAUUGAGUGACAAUACCAAAUGCAUACGGCAUUGAAAAUAGCAACGAUAAUGAUAAUCAUUGAGAACAGUGUCGAACUGAGAGUGUUUGCUAGUUGUGUGCUGUAUUUUAAGAUUUGAGAGUGAAGCUUGAAAAUUUUCUUAACACUUAGAAAAUAUUUUAUUUCCCUUCUCACAAAAUGUUUCUCUUCUUACAAGACCUGCGUUUUGUUUUUAUUACAAAAUUUUUUAUUAUAAUUUAAAAUUAUAAAAGAAACGACAACAUUUCACUUAUUUUUGGUAAUAAAAUAUGUUUAAAAUUAAAGUCAAACCCGUGCAAUUAAAGUCAAAGCAAAAAAAUCAGUCAUGGAUUUUUGAUAGCCAAAUAAUCUAUCAUUAUUCUAUCAUAAGUCCUUGAUAGACGAUAUUUCUAUCACAAGUAUAUCAUAAAUGCGUGAUAGAAAAAAAAAUCUAUAAUGCAUCUAUCUUCGUAAGUCUCCAAACCAAAACAUCAUGUAGAGGAUUAUUAUAGUAGGUGCUUUCCUUAUAGUGACUCAUAAAAAAAAUCAUCUAAGACCCCAAAUAUCCUUGAGCCAUCCCCAAUUUAUAUUCACAAAAAGUUAUGAUUUUGGGCAACUCUUGAUGAGAGGGAAAAGAGAGAGAGAGUUCAAAGUAAACAUCAUAUAAUAAUAAUAAUAAUAAUAAUAAUAAUAAUAAUAAUAAUAAUGAUAGAUUGAUUUAUAUUCAUUGUUUUGUAUGUAAUACAUAAUUAAGGUUAAACGCAAGAUGAAAUAAAGAUGGAGUGUUACAAACUAUUCUUUAAAUUGAAUCGUGAGCGUCCACUCACUUUAUUAUUGAGCUUAAGUGUUCGACUCCUCUAAUAUGUGUUUUGAAUAUCAAGGGUUUGCAUGUUAUCGCUUUCAAUCAUCGGCUUUUAAUUGAAAAAAUAAGUCCAUUAUAAGAGACUCGAGUGUUUAGCGAAUAAGAUUCUAAGAGAUGGCGUGUGAAGCUUCAAUAACAUUACUCAAAUGUGGAGCUGAAAGCAAUUUUUCUUCACAACUUUCACUCAUCCUUUAUACAUGUAAUAUAUGUUACUUCCUCAACAAAGCCUUAGUCUUGGACAAAAAAACAAAAAAAUAAAUCAAUGACGAAAGUAACAAGCAGCUCUCUGGAAAAAGACACCAAAAUCUUGAACUCUUCCCCAUCACACACUUUCCUAGCUCUCAAAUUUUUUUUUUUUAACACAAUGGCUGCAAAAGCUCAAGGCAAGGCCAUUGGCACAGACAUUGACACUAUCAAAUAUCAGGUUUUGAUAAAAAUAUGGCCUUGCAUUUCUCACUGAGUUCACCGAAUAAAUAUAAUACAAGAGAAGAAAUUGUUCAACUAAAUUCCUAGAUAAGUGACAACUAAUUCCUAGUCAAUAUUGAUAAUUGUUCAUUUGUUAUUUUUCUGUUGUAAAUAUAUUUUGUGUAUAUUUUGGUUACAGCUGUAUACAAGAGACUAGCGCUGCUACAACUCAACUCAACUGGGCUUGUUAUCUGUUACAUGACCUUGGUGUUUCCAUUUACAGUGCUCCUUUGAUCUAUUGUGAUAAUGUUGGUGCCACUUCCUUGUGCUCAAAUCCGGCCUUUGACUCCCGAAUGAAACAUGUUGCUAUUGAUUUUCAUUUAAUUCGUGAUCAAUUUGAAAAUGGCUCACUUCGUGCUGCUCAUGUUUCCUCUCAUGAUCAAUUCACCGAUGCUCUCACAAAGCCACUUCCUCGCUCUCUGUUUCUUUUCCUCAAAAAUAUGAUUGGACUUUUCCUUAUUGUUUGAAAACUAAAACUUGUAACUGUAAAAUGUGUUUGGGAACUAAGAAAAUGAAAUGAUCAUUAUGGUGUUUUUCCUUUUAUUUCAAUACUCGAUAUUAAUCCAAAAGCAGAUCUACAUCAGUAUUUAGACUUAGCUAAAACAGAGAGCAAAACUAAUUAAGUAAGCUUAACUACAAAAAAGAAUACAAAGUAUGCUUAACAAACUUGCUGAGCUGACAUAGCUUUUUAACAAACUUUGCUGACUUGGCUUUUGUUCACACGUGCUAACUGAGCUGCUCCUUUGACUGCAACGUGAGCUUUCUUAACAUCCCCCUCAAACUCAAGGGGCAUGGUUGCACAUUGAGUUUGGCUCUAAAACAAUUGAAGUGGAUAAAUGUGAGAGGCUUAGUCAAGAUGUCUACAAUCUGCUCUUCACUGGGAAUGUAUUUGAUUUCCAGCUCUUUGUUCUUGAAUGAUAAACAGGGUUCUUAGCUAAUUCUAUUGCACUGACAUUAUCACGACAUACAUUCAAUACCGAGUUCAUCAAAUAAUGACUGAAUCCAUGAUAUUUCUGUACUUGCAGAUGCAAGGGCUCUAUACUCACUUUCGGCACUGGACCUGGCAACCACUGACUAUUUCUUUGAUGACCAUGAUUUCAAGUUUCUUCCUAAUAAAUGCAAUAAGCACCUAUUGAUUUCCUAUCAUCAAUGUCACAUGCCCAAUCUGCAUUAGUGAAACCCGUGAGCUUCAUUUCUCCUUCUGAUGAGAACUUUAAUCCAUAAUCUUUAGUCUCCUUUAAAUACCUAAGAACUCUUUUGCAGGCAAUGAUAUGUUGAAGUGUAGGAGCUGACACAUACUGACUUAGCUUGUGUACUGCUUAGGCUACUUCUGGUCUUGUUAGAACUAAAUACUGCAAUCCCCCAACUAAGCUUCUGUAACCAGUAGGAUCUUCAACAUAUUGACCCAGAUAACCCUUAGCUUUCUUUUGGAGCUUUGAUCCUGUCACCAUUGGAGUGUCACAUCUUUUGCAUUCUAACAAAUCAGCUUUACUCAGCAAAUCUCCGAUAUAUUUUCUCUAAGAUAGAUAGAUAUCAUCUUUAACAUAUGAAACUUCUAUACCAAGAAAGUAUGAAAGUUCCCCCAAGUCUUUUAGAGCAAACACCAUGCUAAAUUCAUAGAUAAAUUAUUCUAAUUCAGCACUAUUAGGACCUGUGAUCAAUAUGUCAUCAACAUAUAUCAGAAUAAAAAUCAUUGAACUUUGCUUUCCUUUAUAGAACAAAGAUGUAUCAGCCCUUGAAUUUCUCAAUCCCCACUUUAUAACCAGACAAUCUCUCAACUUAUCAUACCAAGCUCUUGGAGCUUAUUUUAAGCCAUAUAAAGCAGUCUUUAACUUACACACAUAGCUAGGCUUCUGCAGAUCAACAAACCCCUCAGGUUGACACAUAUAAACAUCUUCAGUCAGCUUUCCAUUUAAGAAUGCAUUGUUUACAUACAUUUGUCUGAUUGUCCAUCUAUGCAUUACAAUCAAACUCAAUACAAUUCUCACUGUAGAAGAUUUUACCACAGGGUUGAAUGUCUCAAAGUAAUCCACACCUUUUGUUUGUUGGAAACCUUUUACAAUUAACCGAGCUUUAUACUUAGCUAUGCUUCCAUCACUGUUUUGGUUGACUCUAAACACCCACUUGUUGCCUACAACUUUGUGCUCAGCUGAAGAUGGAACUAAUGACCAAGUUUUAUUCCUAAUUAAAGCCUCAUAUUCAUCUCUCAUGGCUUGAUGGUAGUUCUGAUCACUAAGAGCUUCUUGAAUUGUAUCAGGUUCUUUAUUGAUUAAAGCUAUUGUAUAUAAUUUUGGUUUGAAGAUACUAGAUUUUGAUAUGGUAACCAUUUUAUGGGAAGGUUUUUGAAUCAGACUUGUGUUUGAGGCAUGAGAAAUAUGUUGAGAUGGUGAUUGUUGAAUGAUAAUUUGUGGUUCAGAUUGUGGCUGAAUUGAUUCAGGAUUUUGAGAAGAUAUGUGGGGUGAUAAUGAUUCUGUCAAAGAAUGAUUAGGUAGCUCAUGAUGUAAAAUAUCUGUAUAUAAAGAUGAUGAAGAUACCUGCUCAUGUCUUGCUGAGUCUGCUGAGAAAUUUUCUUCAAGACUGCUAUCAGGGAUAGAAAGUAUUGAUAAAUGAAAAAUUUGUUGCUGAGAAAAGGAUGAUAUUGGAAUUUCAUAUGAAGAUAUGUUUUCAGAAGAAGAAAAUGUAUGUUGGUUGAGUAAGGAAAUAUGGUUUCAUUAAAAAUCACAUGUCUAAGUAUAUGAACCUUCCUUGAACUUGUCAAACAUUUGUAACAUUUAUGAGAUGGGAUGUAUCCAAUAAAGUUGCAUUUUCUUAUAUGAAAAUCAAACUUAUGCUUGUUAAAGUCUCUCAAAUAUGGAUAACAAAGACAACCAAAACAUUUUAAGAAGUUGUAGUCUGGUUUGUGUUUGAAUAGUUUUUUAUAAGGAGACACAAACUUUAGUACAGGGGUAGGCAAUCUAUUUAUGUGAUAUACUGCAGUGUGAAUGGCAUCCCACCAGAAUCUGAAGGGCAUAUCAGCUUGAGCUGAUAAUGUCAAUCCCAACUCUACAAUAUGUCUAUGCUUCCUCUCAACCAAACUAUUUUGGUGGUGAGUGUAUGGACAUGAAUGUUGAAAUUAUCCCAUUUUGAUUCAAGAAAUCAGUGAAAACUCUAUAUUCUCCCCCUAGUCAGAUUGCAACAUCUUGACUUUAGUAUUGAAUUGAUUUUCUACUUGGAGUUUGAAAAGUUUAAAAACUUAAAAAGCAUCUGACUUAAGUUUGAGAGGAUAAACCCAAGUAUAGCUGCUGUAAUCAUCAACAAAACUGAUAUAAUAUUUGUAUCCAUUCCUAGAGACAAUAGGUGAAGGUCCCCAAAUAUCAAUAUAUAUCAAUUCCAGCACUUCUGUACUUUUAGUUUCAGUUGUGGGAAAGUGUUGUUUAUGAAUCUUUCCUAAUUGACAAGCAUCACGGAUAGAAUAAGCAGAAGAUGAAAGAGCUUUAGAAGAGACUUUAAGUUUCUCACAGGAUUUAAGCAAAUGCAUCAAUAUUGUUGAGAUUGGAUGACCAAACCUUCAAUGCAAUAAGGUCAUAUCAUAAGGUUUUUUAUUACAAUCAUUUGAAAAUGAGUUAUUACAAGUUGUAGUAAAGGCACUACAAUUUUGAUGAACAGAAGACACACUUGAGACUGACAGCAUAGAGACUGGCUUAUUUAACUGAGAUUGUGAUAGAUGUGAUGCAGGUGAUGAAGACAGAGACUUAGGUUUCAAUAGCAGCUUGUAGAGACUUUUCUCAGCAAGGCCCUGCAAAAGAACUUGUCCUUUCAUGUCCUUUACAAAACAAAUAUUUCCACAGAAUUCAACCGAGAGAGAAUUAUCAGAGGUGAGUUUAGAAAUACUUAACAAAUUCUUAGUGAUUGAAGGAACAAACAACAUAUCUUUAAGUGUUAUAACAGUAUGUGAAGAAUGAAAAUUUGAAGCUCUAAAUGAUAGAAAAGCAUGUCCAACAUGAGAGAUAGAUAAUCCUUUAUCAUUACCAAUGAUGAGCUGAUCAGUACCUUUAUACUCCUCUCUGAGCUGCAGAUUCUCCAUAUUGUUUGUUAAGUGGUGAGUGGCUCCACUAUCCAAAUACCAGCCAUCAUCAGCAGCUCCUUCAAAAUUUACCAUAUAUGCAGCUCCAGAAUUGUAAGCAUCAAUACCAGAGUAAAGAUGAGCUCCAAAGGUAUGAUGAAAAUUUGGUGGCAUAUAGCUAUUUGAUGGUAUAUAGUUAAAACAAUCAUAAUCUUCACAACUGGGAUCAAAAUUAGCAAAGUAUGCAGAUCUUGGUCCUCUCCUUUUACUAAAAUUUCUGGGAAUAGGAGUAUAAUCUUCUACAAAUCUGUGCCAGCAGAUGUCAGCUGUAUGACCAAUUUUGAAACAAAUCUGACAAGUGGUUUCUUCUAUGUUUCCAGUAGAUCCUGGUGGCCUAUUUAUUCCAGUAAAUCCAUUUCUAGUGAAUGGAGUUAGAUUCCUCGGUGAUUGUGAAUGAAAAGUAUGAGCAUUAUUUUGACCAGGAAACUGUCCUCUGCCAUUUCCACUCUUGAAAUUACCAUUAAACAUCCUUUGCGAGCCAAAAUUUCCUCUUUCAAAUUCAUGAUUUCUACUACCAACAUUACGAAAACUACCACCAAUAUAUCCACCUCUUCUGAAAUUACCUCUGGCUUGACCAUAGAAAGCCUUAGGAUAAUAUGUAUUAGCAUAGGCAUAGUUUGCAUUGAGCAUAUUUUUAUCAUCAUGUUCUUGUUCCAAUUUGGUUUCAUGUGUUAACAGUAAUGUAUAAGCAUCAUCAAAUUCCAUUUUAGAACUAAUGAUGAAAGUUGCUCUAUCACGAUAGCCUGAUCCUAGUCCAUUUAAUAUUGUUAACAUCAGAUCUUUUUCUAUUAUAGGACUACCAACAAUAGUAAGUUUAUCAGCUAUAGAUUUCAUCUUAAUACAGUAAUAUUCAACACUUAAUGGUUCUUUCUUUAUUGUGUUCAACUCAUAUCUAAGCUGAAGCACUCUAGCCUCAGAUUGUACUCCAAACUUCUUCUUUAAGGUUCUCCAUACAUCAAAAGAGCUCUCACAAUUAAUAACGAGACUAAGAGUGCCUUCAUUAAUUGCUAAUAACAGCCAUCCAAGUAAGGUUUGAUUCUGUGAUCUCCAAUUUUGAUACUCAGGAUUAUCGAUUUCUUGAGUAGAUCCAUCAGCUCUGGCUAGCAGUAAUUUUUCUUCAGGUGCUGAUUUGGUUCCAUCUAUGAAGCCUUCCAAACAAUUUCCUCUUAUCGAUGCUAGAACUUGUGAUCGCCCAGUAGAUAAUUGGAUCUAUCCAACUUGAUCGGAGUAUUGAAUGAGAAAUUGAUCUGACUUACAUUUGCUGUUGUUGUUAUAUUUCUGGAAUUUAUUUGUUGAUUACUAGAGCUAGCUCUGUUUGGCUCUGAUACCAUGUUUGAAAACUAAAACUUGUAACUAUAAAAUGUGUUUGGGAACUAAGAAAAUGAAAUGAUCAUUCUGGUAUUUUUCCUUUUAUUUCAAUACUCGAUAUUAAUCCAAAAGCAGAUCUACAUCAGUAUUUAUACUUAGCUAAAACAGAGAGCAAAACUAAUUAAGUAAGCUUAACUACAAAAACAUAAUACAAAGUACAAUAUAACCUCUAUAAAUUAAUACUCAAUAAAUUAACAAACUCUAUAAUAUAAUAAUUUUUUUGCGGUUCCGACGUGGACCCUGAAUCUAAAUUAAUAAUUUUGAUAAAUUAAUAAGAUAAUAAUUUUUCUAAGAACUCUUAUAACUAUGUGGUCCCAUUUAUAUCAUAAAUUAAUAAUUGUAGAAAUUACAAAUACUGUGAAAUUACAAAUGUAACUAACUACGUCAAUUUAUUAAAAUAUGAGUCUAUUGUAACUUGUUUUUUCUUGAAGUUUAAAUCUAGUUGAAUCUCAUCUCUAAUUUUUCUUAUUGCAUUUAAAAGUUCUGGGGUUGAGUUCUCGUACUACAAUAAAAAAAUUAUGAAGUGUUGUUGAUGACUUGAGUGUUUCAGUGCGCGAAAUAGGCUCUAAAGAUACUGUGUCAUCCUCAACUUCAUCUUCAGCAUGAUCUUCAGUGAUGUUAGCAACAAUUUCUUCUAAACUUUGGACCUAUGAAAUUUCAUUAUUUUCAUUAGGGUAAUAUCCAAGAGGUAAUUGACAUCCAUUCCAUUACGGAAACCCAGAUUGAAAAGUUAGUUCAUUAAAUAUAUUUAGAUAAAUUUAUGUAAAUACAUGAAUUUAGUUAAUCAAGUAGAUAGGUGCAUUAGAUUAGUUCUAAUUCAAUUUAUACAAUUUAAUAACUAACAUUUAGUUUAGUUCAUUGAAUACGUUUAGUAAAAUUCAUGAAUUUAUUUAAUCAAGUAUACAUUAUUUAUUUGAUGAAUUUAUUUAAAUUCUAUUGAUUAUAUUUGUAAAAUACAAUGAAUUUUCAAUCAAUUAAAUGUUAGUUCUUUGUACUGUGAACACACUCUAUAAAUUAAUAAAUUAUUAAUUUAUCGAUUACUUAAUAUCUCUCUAAAUUAAUAAAUUUCUAUGGUUCCGACAUUAUUAAUUUAUAGAGGUUAUACUGUAUGCUUAACAAACUUGCUAAGCUGGCAUAGCUUCUUAACAAACUUUGCUGACUUGGCUUUUGUUCACACGUGCUAACUGAGCUGCUCCUUUGACUGCAACGUGAGCUUCCUUAACACUUAUUCCGUCUCGGUGGAGGAUCAGGCCACAGCGCGUUCCUUCUUGGAGCUCCAAGAGAUGGUAAAAAUGAAAACACUAGUAGAGGUAAAAUCAUCCUUGUUGCCAGCCCGACCAGUAUAAAAAAAAAUCAUGUAAUAACAGCGGAGAAUCCCGAUAGAGAAGAAUGCCAUCAUCUAACGUACCACCAAGAUAGAUAACGCAUAAGACGAUUUAGGAAAGAGCCCAAUGAUCAAGGGUUAGCCGAUGCAUAAUUUAUGAAAGCUAGUUUAUGAUGUCCGGUCGCGUAAGUAAGAGAUAGUGCCAACUUUCAAUUACAGCCCUUUACUCUGUAGGAUCAGAAAGAGCAGGACUGGAAUGCAAAGUAAGAGAAUGAUCAGCAGGAAAUACAUGGGUUAUAUUAUUUCAAAGUAAUAUAUACGGUGACUAAAAAGUCUAAAUUACCUGUGAGAAUUUUUAUUUGGACAAUUUUGACACUAAAACGUACCUUUUUGCCUCAAAAAAGUAAACAAAAGUGGUGUAACGACUAAUUUGACCAUCGCAUAUUUUGAAAAUUCUCAUGGCAAAAUUUGUAAAAUUAGGAAUAAACGAGUGUUUGGCGCGUUCAAAUUUGCAAUCUAACUAAAUUUUUUCAGCAACAUCAAAGUCAGCCAAAUUUGAAAAUUGGAAAAUUAACUUGCGGAUAUAUAUCUGCUAUGUACUAUAAACACUUGUUGGAAAUAUUUUUUUCCCAUUAAAAAUAUUUCUGUAAAAGAAGUAAAAAAUAAAAAGAACAAUAUUGGACAUUUCAAUAUUUAAAUCUUAAUUUUUGUAGGAGAAACUCGACUGAAUAUCAAGAUGACUAAAGUGUCAUGUGCUAGCAUGUGCUAGCAUGUGCCGGGCCAACAUAUAAUGUAGGAUAGUUUAGUAAAUUCCCACAUACCUUUUCCUAAGCUGUAAUAAAAAAUUAAAGAUACCCACACAAUUAAAUGAACUACUAUUGAGAAGUUAAUAGUUUCUUGAUUCAUUUAGUUGGUAUAUCCUCCCCUUAACUCUAAGGUAAGGUAGAGGGUUUUGAAUCUCCCCAGUAAUUGUGGAAAUAUAUUAUUAUGUUGGACUUGAACAGUAUAGGACUUUGAUACAUUAGGUGAUUGUAUAUUUAAGUGGACUUUAAUUGUCUUAGACUUUGAUUGAAUUAUAUAUAAUACUUACAAAAACAAAAAAAACUAAUGCUGAUAAAACACAAGAUAUUUUCAGUCAAGCUCUCCUUCGGUCUAUAAAUAUCACUAGUCAUCUAAUUGUCUUCAUUUCCUUUUUAGGUAUUGCCAAAAAAAUAUAAAUUAAUUUUGUCUAUUUGAAGGAGAAGACAACAAAAAUUAUAAAAGAUCAAAUUUGGUGAGUUUAGUGGGAAGUUAGGUGAAAAAAAUAUAAAAUAGAAUUUUAACCAUGCAAUUUUAUUAGCUUAAAAAACAAGAAAAGAUAAGGAGAUAAAAAUUGAUGAAGGCACUAAAUACACAACUUAAUAUUGAUCACAUAUUUUUUAAUAGGUCACAUGUCACUAGAUUGUAAAUUCAAGGAAAGGUUAGAACAGAAAAGAGAAAAAAAAAAAUGAGGCUGCUAAAUUCUAAUCCACCUAAAAUAAAUAAAAACUUUAAAAUCAUUCAACAGCCUUUUAGUUUGUUUGAUCUUACAUUCUAUUUUUAAUUUUAAAGUGGAGGGUUGAAGCCUCUAUCAUAGUUGUAGGAGUUUAUCUUCUUUAAUUUUCUCGAUCGGACUUCUUCGUCUAUUCUACGGUUGAUUUAAUCGAUUAUUUUCUAUGGAUUUCUCUAUUGGGUUUAUUGAACCUAUCUAUGCUAUGGUGGGUUUUAAUUAAGUAUUUUCUAUUAUUUACUCCAUUCGGCUUCUCUAGCUUUUUAGUUUUUAUUGGACUUCAUUUUAAUUUUUUUUGGGGCUUAUAUGUCAAUUAGUUAUACCAUUAGUUUUGAACUCAAAACAUCUUAUUAUUAUCAUUAUAUUUUUAAAAUAAUCUAAUUAUUUAAUAGUUAACAUAAAUUUCUCCCGUAGAAUUUAAAUCCUAAACCUCUUAUUUUCAUUUAAGAGAUUUAACUAAGGGAGUUAGCUAUCAGCCACUUCCCAACAGGCAACCUUUACAUACACACGUGCCAAUUUCAUGGCCCCACCAUUUAUAGUUAUCAGCCCACUUGUGUAUCUAUUAGCCUCCAGUUGUUCACCCAAUAUGACCCCUAACUUGUUCUCUUACUGGAGACGAUUCUUUUUUGUAUUUACUUGACCAGCCAACUACGGGACGAACAGGUAACUAUAAUCUUUUGUGUGGGCGCUUCUCCUUCAUGGGUUCUACCUCAAUACAAUCAAACAGUAUUUUUGGCAACUCGAAACUGUUCGGCUUUAAAUCAUAUAUGCAUGCGUUCGAUAAGUUUUCAAAUAACUUUAUUUAAUUGGCUGCCGAAUUCGAAUCCUAGCAAAAAAAUUCCUUAAAAAGUACAUUUGAGUUUAACUUAUUCUCUACUUAAAAAAAAAAAUCAUAUAUUCAUACAUUAGUUUAUUAUAAAUUUUAGAAAUAACAAUAAACUGAGUAAUGAUAGUAUCUGAAUAACUAAAUCUCACUUGAGUCCAAAUUGGUGUGGCAUUACUCUGUUAGAUGGUGCAAAGUUAAUUUUAUCAGUGAUAAAAUUCACUAUCAAAUAGAUGAAUAACACCAAAAAAUUAGAACUCAACUCUUGAAAUCCCGAACAUAAUUGUAAUAAUUAUGAAAAACUUUUUUAUUUUUAUUUUAAUGGAGUUUUGAAGAGAUUUGAGUUUUCAAAACUGUGAAUAAAUUUGGAGCGAUAUAAGCGAGAGUGAUUAACUAACGGUGGCUAACUUAAAAAUCACUCGUUCAACUUCCUACGGUUAUCCUACUUGAGUGAAUAUGAAGUGAAAAAGUUGACGAGAGAGGUUUAUUCAAUUUAUUAAAAAAAAAUGGAUUAGUUGCCAAAAACGGAAAUCAAUUUAAAUCAACUAUUGGUCAACAAAUUGGAUUAGCCAAUCGGAGAAGGGAGGUCGACAAAUUGGAUUAGUCAAACGGAUGAGGAAGGCUUUAGCAGUAUAUAUAUGGAAUACUGGAGAACUAAGUGCAAUACAAGCAAAAUGGCUAUUGAGCUUAUCCUCAUCCUCUUAUCUCUCCCAAUCUCGCUACUGUUUCUUCUCCGAAAACACAAAAAGACCUUCCCACCAGGCCCUCCAGGUCUCCCUAUAAUCGGUAACAUACACCAAUACGAUACCUCGAACCCUCCACGUUAUUUGUGGGAACUGUCGAAAAAAUAUGGCCCCCUCAUGUGUCUUCGUUUUGGUUCUUUACCAACAUUAAUCAUUUCAUCAGCCAAAAUGGCUAAAGAGGUCAUGAGAACCAAUGAUCUUCAAUUCUCUGGCAGGCCAAAUCUGACAGGUCAGAAAGCGUUUUCGUACAAACACAUAGAUGUGGCUUUUACGCCAUAUAGCAAUUACUGGAGAGAGAUGAGGAAAAUAUGUGUCAUCCAUUUGUUUAACGCUAAUCGGCUGCACCAGUUUCGUCCUGUUAGAGAAAAUGAGGUUUCCCGUAUGAUUGAAAAAAUAUCCAAAUCGGCAAGUGCUUCAGAACCGGCGAACUUAAGUGAAAUAAUAAUGUCUCUUUUAUGUAACCUUAUUUGCAGAAUUGCCUUUAGCAAGAGGUGCGAAGACGAUGACGGCCAAGCUGAAAGGGUUGGAAACAAAACCAGAUUCCAUCAUAUUCUGGCUGAAACUCAGGCCAUGGCAGGGAGCUUCUUCUUUUCAGAUUUUUUUCCUUUCAUGGGUUGGGUCGAUACACUCACAGGAAAAAAUCGUCGCCUUAAAAAGGCUUUUGAAGAUUCUGAUAAAUUCUAUCAAGAGCUUGUUGACGAGCAUUUAGACCCAAACCGGCCAAAAGUUGAUCAGCAGCAAGAGGAUAUAAUUGAUGUUUUACUUCGAAUUCGAAAAAACUCUGAGACUAAAAUUGAUCUGACGUGGAAACAUAUCAAAGCAGUGCUUAUGGUAAUUAAUCUAAUUUUUUCACUCAGCCUGGUUAUUAAAGUUUGUGGUUGUUUCUAUCAGUAGUCUGUCAAAUUUAUUCUGUCUAAAAAUCACUACUCAUAUAAUUUUAUCCUCGUACAUCUCCCAGGACGUAUUUGUUGCUGGCACGGACACGAGCGUGGCUACUCUUGUUUGGUCCAUGACCAACCUAAUGAGGAAUCCCGCAACGAUGAAGAAGGCUCAAGAAGAAGUUAGAAGUGUGGCAAAAAACAAAGGGUUUGUAGAUGAAGACGACCUUGAGACAUUACAGUAUCUUAAGGCUGUUUUGAAAGAGACAUUCAGGUUGCAACCGCCGGUUCCGUUGAUCCCAAGAUCAACAACAGAAGAGUGCGUUGUUGAUGGGCAUAAAAUAGAAGCGAAGACACUCGCUUACGUGAAUACAUUGGCAAUAGGAAGGGACAGUGAAGUAUGGGAUAAACCGGACGAAUUCAUUCCUGAGAGAUUUAUUGGAACAGAUUGUGUUGAUUUUCAAGGACAACACUUUCAGCUGCUGCCAUUUGGUAGCGGCAGAAGAAUUUGUCCAGGAAUAUCAAUGGCAAUGCGCACUUUGGAGCUUGCACUUGCCAAUCUUCUUUACAAAUUUGAUUGGAAAAUGCCAGAAGGGAUGAAGAAUGAAGAUUUGGAUUAUGAUAUUCUACCAGGUGUAGCCAUGCACAAGAAGAUUCCACUCAAGCUUAUGGCUACCAAAUUUAUAUGAUACUCGUGAUCUGGAAGGUUUAAUUUGUAAAGCUUUCGUAUGCAUGCAUGCGCGCUUUUCCUUUAGUGAGUCCGAAUAAUGGAUAUGGUAACCUCAUUUAGGGAAAAAAUGGGGGAAAAAAAUUCUUUGAAAACGAAAGUGCUAAAUGGAGUUCAAUGUCUUAUGUAGAAAUUGUUUUUAGUUGGUCAAUAUCUUUUCAUCUUUUGUAAUCCAAUUCUUUUUACAGCAAGUUUAGUCCAGGUCAAAUAUUAUUUGUUGAGAGUGAUUUGAAGUCUAUAAUUUAUUGUAUUUGAUUCUUUCCUAUCUUAAUGAAAUGGAGUGCCAUUGAUUGUUAGUGCUUGAGACUCCUUACUGGCUUAUUGAAAUUUUUUUUUAUAGCAAAAAUUAGUAUAUUUGACAUUUAUUCGUUGGUAGUCUUUAUAAAUUAACAAAUAUAUUUAUCACUUUAUUAAAUAUUAGGCAUCCCUUAAAUAUAAAUUACCUAAGCAUUAACCAUAAAGCGUUAUGUAUUAAAAAAAAAAAAAGAAGAAGCCCUGUUUUGAUUAUUAAGUGACAUUCCACUGGAAACAGCAAAAAGCAAACUCUUCUUCGAUAAGCUUGCUGCCGCCAUGUCUCAUCUCCGAUCAAAGCUUCUCCAUAUCCAAAAUCAUAACUCCACACCCCUAUCUUCUGAAUUAAACGCUCUCAAAUAGAAUUAGGACUGGUACCCAUUGUUCAUUCUAACUUCUCGAUUGUGUGAAGAAGAACUAAGGUAAUUAUUUCACUCUUAGUCUCUUUCACCCGAUUUCUCGCUAUUCAAUGCCCUAAGUUUGAUUCCGUCACUCGUAAUGCCUUUAAUUGAUGAGCUUUUUGUUUAUUGAGACUGUAAAUUCACUCUAGGGUUUCAAUUUCAGACAACAAUAGCAUGGUAGCCUGGGUGAUUUCACUGUUAAGUCAAAUUGAUAAUUUUUUUUUACUUCUCUUUUCAUUUUUGUUUAUGAUGAAGAGUUUCAACAUUCUUCAUCUUCAUUUGCUUCUCAAAUGUCAGGUGUUUUUUUUUUUUUUUAACUAUGAUUUUGAUAAUUUUUUUUCACUUCUCUCGUUCUAGUUUAGAUAAUUUUAUUGUUAUGCUUGAAUAAAUUGUUCUUUUAAUCAAUUUAGGGUUUGAUUUAAUUGAUUCUAAGUCUCAUCUUGGUUCCCAUUCAAAAAAACAAAGAACGCACAAAUAAUUUUCAUUUUAUUCUCAAUUGUGGGCGUGUGAUAAUUUUGUCUCUUUGAAUUAAUUUAUUUUAUCUCGAUUAGUACACUUCCUCAUCGAUUUUGAUUGAUUAUUGUUUAAUUAACCUAAGAUAUUAUUUUCUUUCUUCUCUUCAAGCAGAUUAUUGCCUUGCUCCUCUCAUUGAUUCCAGUGAGAACGACACUUCCUCAUUGAUUCCACCAAGAACGAUGUUGAUUUCAGGUAAUAAUUGAAUAUGUACUAUUUUCAGCUUGAAUUUACUUGAGUCUCGUAAUAGUAAUAGGGAUUUGAGAUUUAUUCCUUGUUGAAAUUAUUUUAGAUUCUAGACUUGUUCUGCUAUGGACAUUACUUGAGAUGCGCAUAAAUUAUAAUCUUGUUGAAAUUAGUUGAGAUUUUUAUGCCACUAAUGUUCUGCUGUUAGCUACUGAGAUGAUCGGAUAUACUGUAGCUGGUGAAUGCACAUCCUAGAUGUUUAUGCCAAUAACACAUCUUUUUCUCUAUGUUUGUCUGUUGUCUUGUUAUGCUUAGGGAUGCCAAUGGGCACCGCCCGCAACGGGUUUACCAUUACCAAACCCAAACCGCACAAAAUUUAAAUUACCAAACCCACUUGCAACUUGCAACUUGCAACGGGUUUUAAUUUUUUUUAAAAAAAUCCAUCUGCUAUAGGUUUUGACAAUUACCAAACCCGCAAUGGUAUCCGGUAGAUUUUCUGUGGGUUUGUACAUUUAAAAUCAUAAAUAUUUAAUAUAUCAAUUUACAAUAAUAGCCUCAAAUUCCACAUAACAUACUCAAUUUUAAAUUUAACCAAUGUAAAUAAAAAAUUAAAAUUUCAACAUCAAUCCAACACAAAUUCUCAAAUUUAAGUGUAAAAUACACAAACCCAUUAAAAAAAACCACAAACUAGUAUAUAAAAAUAACAAUUACAUUUCAUAUUAUCAUUCAACACAAGCUCCAAGAGAAGAUCUUCAUUUCAUUCACCACCAUUAGCACCCAUCCAACAUGAUGCCUACAAUAAUUAUUAAGAUUAAUAUUUUCCAAAGAAUAAUACUUUUCAAAUAUUAAUCCAAAAAAAUUAUAAUAAUGAAAUAAUUCAUGCAUUAAUUUAAAGAGAAAUAGUCCAUAAAAAAUUAUAAUAAGUAUAUAAUAAUCCAUGAAUUAAGUUAAAAAAACAUAGUUCCUUACCUCACUAAAAAUAUCUUCAUCUUCGGAGAAUUUGUUAUUUCCUACUUUAUUAGAAGAUUCUGCAUCUAUAAGUAACAAGUAUAUCAAGAAAAAAGAUAGAUGAUUAUAAGUUUGUAACAUAUAUAAGAUAUUAUAUUCUAUUAGGUAAAAAUGCAUUUUCAUACCAUUAAAUUCAGCACACAAUAAAUUUUGAGCACACAUUAAAGCCUCCAACGUCUUUGGAUGAAGUCUACUACGAUGUUCUUUGGCACUUUGCAUAAUUGCAUUAUUUUCUUUAUAUAUUUUUUAGAUUUAAAUAUUUUUAAUUAAAAUUAAAUUAAAAAUAUUUUUAAAAAAACAUUGUGGGUCUGGCGGAUAUCCAUACGGGUAUCCGUCAGAUAUUAGGUUAAUACGAAAUCCACCCGCAUCUAAGUGUGGGUUUCAAUUUGUAAUAUCAAACUUGUAUGCAACCCGUAAAAUUAUCCGCAAUGGACGGGUGUUUACGGGCCAGUUUACGGGCACAUUUGCCAUCCCUAUUUAUGCUAUCUAAGUAAAUAAACUUAAUAAAACUUUUUUUGUUUAUGUCAAUGUCAAAUUUCUGUCCUAGUCCAAUUUCAGUACCGAAAUGCAAUUGCUACAUGAGUUGUGCGACUCGGUGACUAUUAGAUGAGCAUUACAGAGUAGUGGUUUAGGUGAGAAACUACAUAUAGAUCUAAGAAACAAUACCCUAUCCAUAAGAAAAAUGACAUUUUACUAUCAAGUCUAUGCAAUGUCACUCUCAUUUGUUCUAAAGGGAAACAGAGGAGAUGAAAUUCAUUUAUCAUUGGGAUCAAAAAAUGUAGUUGAGAAGGAAGAGCAUGUUCGAGAGUUAAGGACGACAUGCUGGACUAACUAUAGAUUAUUUUGAAAUUAUGUUUUGGCUUAAGCUACUCAUGUCACCAUUAUAUUUUCAAAAUCUGAAUGGGUUUCCAUCUCUCUUUCUCUCAGUUUGUGUGAUUGAAAGAAUGGGUUAGUUUAUUUGAAACCCCUAAUCUUCUCCCCCAAAUCUCUAUCCUAAUUUUUCUCAAACUCCUCUCUCUCACUUAAACUCAGCCUGUGAAUCCUCUUUUAUUCAAACUUAUCUCCCCUUCAUUUAUCUCAAACUCAGCCCCUCAUUCCCAAACUCAACCACAACUGUUUUCUUCCACUGUUCAUCGCGCCACGGUCAAGUUUGUUGCCUCUGUGAAGCAGCUGCAUCUCCCUUUACCGUCCUUCAAGUGCUGAAGCAGCUAAACACUUUGGAUGAUCCGAUUCAUAUCUUCCAUCAUCGUCUCUCACUUCUUGUCUGACACAGAUCUUGGCCAUCAUCGUCGCUCUUUUCGUGGGUGUUUUAUAAUUGAUUGAGGUGUGUUUGUAAGAAUAGUAAUUGGAAGAUUUUUUUUUGUGAAGGCUGUAAUAAGUAGUUUAGUUAGUUAUUGUUGAAGGCAAUUGAUUGUUGAAGACAACUGAAUAAUGUAGAGGGAUUUUAAUAUUUAGUUCUUUUUCAUUUUACGUUUUGUGAUUUUAUGGGGAAAAAAAUUGGAUUGUAUUUUUGGAAAUUAUUGUAACCCGAAUUUGUCACUUAAAUCGAAUUUAAUUCGGAUCGGUUCAGUUUGGGUUACAAAUUUGAAACCAUUUGAAUUCAGUUUGGGUUACAAAAAGGACAACAAGUGAAAAAGAUUAACCUGAAAUAGAAUGAUAUUAAGGUGCCGGUAAUGUUGAAUGUGGCUAAUAUGACUUUUCAGGAAUGAUUUUAUUUAGUGAUCAUUAGCCUAGCAUGCUAGUAAAUCUAUAUCUAAUUUGUUUAUCAUUCCCUGUAAAAAAGUAAAAGUGAAGCUCCUUUGUGAUUUGGUCAAUUUGUUGUGGUUGUUAUACUGUACAAUUGUGAUAAAUUUGCAUGGUAUUAAUAUGAUUAAGGCAAGAUUUUUUGCCCCUAUUUUUUGUUUCCCAUCUACACUCUAUUUAGAUGCUAUUUGCAGUCUCUCAUUUCUUAUUAUCUUAUUUUUAUGUAUAGGGUUGUCAUGAAAAAAUUUGGGAUCAAUGGUGGAAGGCUAACUGAGGAUUGAAUUAUACUAAAAAUGGCUUGGUGGUAUUGAUUUUGUGCUUAAAGUGUAGAGUGAAUUUAGAUAAAUGUAUAGUUCAACAAACUAGAUCUUAUUUUUUUUAUAUAUACAUUUCAAACAUUUAAAGUUUGUCCUUGUAUAAUUUAUAUAAGGAUGGGGAUAUUUACACCCCAUUUUUUUUGGUAAAUCCACCCCACUUCUAGAAAAUAAUUAUAACGAGUUCACAAUAUUUUUAAAAAAUACAAAUUAAUAAAAAUUUUGUACAGUUAAUCAAUUAAAUCCUUCUGUUAAUUUUGUUUUUUUAGGUUUCUUGACCAUCUUUAAUCAUAAAUCUUAAUAUAAUUUUCAUUUUACUAUUUUAUUAUUAUGAUCUAAAAAGACAAAAUCACCCUCAUAAAACAUGAGUUAUUAUAUCUAAUAUUUGGGUAUUUAAUUUUGUGACUUAUAAUUUAAUAUUUAAAUAAAAUCUAAUAAUUAUUUCACUUUCCUUACGUAUAAAUGACAUAAAUUUGACAGGAUAAUGAUUUAUAUGAGAAUUGUGCGAUAAAGACACUAUGUUAGUUUAAUUAAAAAAUAAUAAUUAUACUAAUAAAGUAGUAUUAGAAACAAUGAGUUUGGUACAAAUUAGAAAAAUAUUGAAGUUAAAGUAAACUCUUGAUAAUUUUACGUAGAAAUCUUUGUAAUAAAAUAUAUUAAAAAAAUAUAAGGCACAAAAAAGUGAAUUAAGAUAGGUUUAAUUAAUUAAUUCUCCAAAUCUCUUAUUGAAUUGAAAAUUUUUAAAAAUAAUGUGCAACUUCUAUAAUUAUUUUUUGAAAAUGGGGUGAAUUCACAAGAAAAUAUGGGGUGGAGAUAUCAUCACUCUUUAUAUAAAUGUAUAGUUUCAAACUGGAUUUUAUUUUUGAUAUAUACAGUUCAUGUUAAUAUGAUUUUGAGUUGCUAUUUUAUUGUUUAGUUCGGAGUUUUAUCAAGUUUUCAAUGCUAUAGUUUAUAUCACGUGAAGCCUACAAAAGAGAUUUCAUUAUUGUAAUUUUCUUUUUAAAAAGGUGUAAAAUUUUGGCCCUACUGGGAUUCUUUCCUAUCUUAAUGAGAUGGGGUGCCGAUGACUGUUUAGUGCUUGAGACUCCUUACUAGCUUAUAGGAUUUUGUUUUGUUAAUCACGUAAAUGUCGAUUAUUAUUCUCAGGUAUAUCUAUCUCAUUAAAAUUGUCAAUUUCUCUUCGUUUACAUAUGUCCUAACCGGUGCAAAGAAGCAUGAUUUUGUCUUACCGUCUUAUUUUUAAUUUUCCAUUAAAGUUUUAUGAAAAAAAUUAAUUUAGACUCAUAUUUAAAUUUUGCGUAUGACCCCAAUUAUCCUUGAGCAAUCCAUUCAUAAAAAUUUAUGAUUCUGUGCAACUUGUUAUGAGAGAAAAAGAGAAGAAGGCAAGUUGUUAUGGGCGAAAAAGAAAAGAAAGCGAGUACAAUUUAUACAAAAAAGUGACAAAUUGAUUUGUAUUCAUGAUUUUGUGUGAAACGUAGAAUUAAGGUGAAAUGGAAGGGAAAGUAAAAUCGGAUUAUUAAACCAAUUUAAAACAGUCGGCGAGCAUCUACUUAUUUCAUUAUUGAGCUUUAUUGAGCUCAAGAGUUCGAGUUCGGGUUCUCACGCAUGUAUUGUGAAUGUUGAGGAUUUUGCAGGGUAUUACUUUCAAGUGACUACAUUGUUAGUUUUACGAGAAGAAAAAUGAAGAAACUAUAUUGGAUAAAAGUUUGUUUACUUCUUAUAGUUUAAUAUUAGUGUCUAUUUAGUCUUAUAUUUUAAUAUCUCAUAAUAUUUUUAUCGCUAAAUUAUUGAUACUCUUAUUAUUAUUUUUUGUUUAUUUUAACUUGAUUUUACAAUAUUACUCUCUUGCAGUAAUUUUUUUGGACAUUAAUGAAAAAAAUUAAAUUACCAAUUUAACUCAAAAAUAAAAUAAAAAUAAAAAUAAUAUCUAUUAAAUUUGUGGAAGCUCAUGUAUGUCCAAAAAAAUUAUUAUUGUGAAAAAAUUAAAUUAUCAAUUUUUUUACAUUAAUAAAAAAUUAAUAUUUUAACUCCUUAACAGAGUGUUCCACAAAAAUUAUAUAUAUAUAUUAUUCUUUUUGUUUCUAUUUUAUUUUUUAGGAUUAAACUAAUAAUUUAGUUUUUUUACUUUUUAUUAAUGUUCAAAAAAAUAAACAUUAUUGUAAGAGGGUGAUAGUUCUAUUAUAAAAACAAACUAAAAUGAACAAAAAGCAAUGACAGAGGUGUCAAUAAUUUAACGAUAAGGAUGUUUUGAGAUAUUUAUAAAAAUAUAAGGAUUAAAUGGAUACUAACCUCAAAAUAUAGAGAUUAAACAAAUUUUUACCCUAAAAUGUUUCCUACAUCAUUUUCCAUGAAUAUAUAAAAAAUAAUUUAGAUUUAGUGGAAAAAACUAUGUAUCCCACUUUUGGCAUUUUUCUGGUUCAAUUACACUAGAAUCCCUAUUGUUUAUUAUAAAAUUAAAAGAAUUAGAUGUUUAAAAAUUAUAAUAUUUAAGUCCCGUUUGCCUCAAUUUUUAUAAAUCCUUAGCUAUACUUGACAAUUAGGGAAUAGGUAAAAUUAUUUAGACCCAUCAAAAUACUUUAUAAGGCCACUUUUUAAUUAAAAAAAUUAUUGCUAAAAUGCCUAAAACAUAAAUUAGUAAUAGAGCCAAGAUAACAAAAUUAGAUGAAAGUGUUUUAUUUUCUUAAAUAUUUUUAGUUACUUUUAAAUGCAUUAAAUGUAUACAUCUAUAUUAAACCCUAAGGCCGUUUGUCUUUUUUACUUAAUGACUUAAUUUAUUUAAUUUUAAUCAUGUAAGUCAUUAAGUAUGUUUGUUUUUUCAACUUAAUGAAAAUUUUCAAUCAUUAAGUUACUAAGUUAUUAAGCUAAUUUGUUUAGCGUUUUGCUUAACCUGCAUUUGCAUCAUCAACAAGAUGUAAAAUUUUUGUUAGUUUACAAGAUAAAAUAAUCUCAAUAAUAAACCAUCUUUAAAUAGCCACUUGUGAAAAUAAAAACAUCAAUGACUAUGUUCUUUACGAUUUCAAACUAUCAUGUGUAAGUAAAAACAUUUCGUCAUUUUCAUCAUGUACCUCUUGAAGAGGUCUUUUAGGAUUUUUGGUUGCUUCAAAGACUAAAUGCUCUUUUAAAAUAUUAACCACAAUCAAUAGAACGCUCAAUAUUUCUAAACUCUUGUUCCUUAUAGCAUUUGGUUGGAUAUCAACAUCAAGGAUCCAAGAAGAUAGGUAAUUUUCACUAGAAAUAUCCAACGCAACGAAUUCAAGUUUUGCAAGGUUAGAAACAUUAGCAAUAGUGUAACGACAAUAUUUAAAAAAAAAAUCAAUAGAAUAGAAUAAACAAUAACUAUGCCCUAUUUUAUAAUGUGAAAAAUCAAUUUAAUGGCAACCACAGAGUAUACUUAUAAGGAUAAUUUUAUUAAAUAAACAGAUAAAUAAAGACUAAAGAGUACAAGGGAAUAUGAUACUUUUGGAUCAAAUUAGACAGUAUUCAGACAUGCAUGCAAAUAAUGUAACAAAGAUAAAGAGAGCUGAUAAUAAUCAAGCCAAAUGUGCGGAAGAGAAGCUACGAUCGAUGCCUUUGUUUCACGAUAUUGAUGCGAGUGAGUAUUUGCAAAGAUAUUGCCACCUGCUUGCACUAAGCUUGCACCCUUAAAAUGUCGACAAGUGGCACGAGUUUGAUUGUUGUUACAACAUGAACUGUGCAACACACUCUUCACAAUAUCAUUCUCAUUCUAUAAAACAAAUUGAAAAGCAUUAUUUAGAAAAUAAUACCACACACACCCUAAUCUUUUUUUAGGUGGUGUUUAACUGGGAGGAGAGAAAAGUAAUUUAAAUUAUAUUUUUAUUUCCAUUGUUUAGUUAGACAACAUAUAUAAGAAUUUAAUUUUCAUUAAAAUUUAAUAUCCAUCAUAAUGUAGAAUUUGAAUUCCAUACAAAGGAGUGAAGAAUUUAAAUUUCUCUUAUAUUGGAAACCAAAGCUUCCAAAAUUACCCUUCAACUUUUUAACUUGUUUAAUGCCAUUAAUAAUUAUUAUUUUAAUUUUAUUUAUCAAGUUAAUAAUUUAAAUAAUUUUAUAUUAAUUAAAUUUAAUGAAUGAUUUUAGAAACUUAGCAAAAUAAAUUUAUUUAUUUAUUUCAUAUGAAAAUAUAGAAAUAUAAAUUAAUCAUCGCUGGACAGUCGCUGGACCUCUGCCGAACAGUCCCUGAAUCUCCACCAGAACUCUACCAGACCACCGUCAGAACUUCAUUGGACUGCCACCAAACCGCUGUUUUAUUAUAUAUAAUUCUAAUAAAUCAUGAAUUUUUUUAGGACUUUUUGACAUUAAAAAAGUUUGGUAUUGAUAUUAAAUUAUAUUUCAUUACUAAUAUAAAUAGUUAAUUAUUUAAGGCCAAAGAUAAAUUUGUGCAAAGAAAAAAAAUGUAAUUCAUUUUCCUAUCUAAUUUUAUGUCAAACCAAACAAUGAAAUUUAAUUUUACUAUUCUCCUUUACUCUUUUCUUCUCCCUUUCCCUCCAUUCCACUCUUUUCCUCUCAUCCCCUUUCUUCAAACCAAAUAUGCCCUUAAAUAUUUUAAACUAUAUUCAAUUUAUUCUAGACUCAGAUGUUUGGUCGAAUGUCCUGCCUGCGCCAUCCUAAAGUUAAUUUUAAAGACAACCAUCGGCUUCAAAUUGAAAACAUGAGUUCCAUUAUGAGAGACUCGAGUAUUUUGGCGAAUUGGGUUUUGAGAGACUGUGUGGAGAUUCAAUAAUAGUAAUACUCGAAUGUAGGGCUCAAUUAACCUGCCCAACAUCUAUAAAUUCAGGCCCAGUCCAUGCAACAGAAGGGCCUCCGACUAACAUCUCUCUAAGAAGUCAGAAAUUCAUUGGCCCACAACUUUUUAGUCGGAAAAAAAAUAACCGCCUGAAUCAUUUUCCAGAACUCAUUGUUCAAGAAAACUCUAGCAUUUUCUUUUACUUUCCAGAGGCUGACACGUCCGGUUCCGUUUUCUUAUUCUCUCCCGAAUUUUCUUCUCAACUUUCCCUCGCCCCUUUAUAUAUAUAUAUGACCAUCCUUAUGAACCUUUAGUCUCAGACAAUAAGCAAAAUCAAUAACGAAACAAUGGCUGGAAAAGUUGAAGGCAAGUCUAUUGGCAUAGACCUUGGCACGACUUACAGCUGCGUUGGAGUAUGGCAAAACGACCGCGUAGAGAUCAUAGCCAACGAUCAAGGCAACAGAACCACUCCAUCUUAUGUAGCCUUCACAGACACCGAACGUCUGAUCGGCGAUGCGGCUAAAAACCAAGUUGCCAUGAACCCUCAGAACACCGUUUUUGAUGCCAAACGACUCAUCGGGAGGCGCUUCUCCGACCCGUCGGUUCAAAGCGACAUGAGGCACUGGCCUUUUAAGGUUGUUGCAGGCCCUGGUGACAAGCCCAUGAUUGUUGUUACUUAUAAAGGCGAAGAGAAGCAGUUUGCUCCCGAAGAGAUUUCUUCUAUGGUGUUGACCAAGAUGAAGGAGAUAGCCGAGGCUUAUCUCGGUCAAGCCUUGAAAAAUGCUGUGGUUACUGUUCCAGCUUAUUUUAAUGACUCUCAGAGGCAAGCAACGAAGGAUGCUGGUGCUAUUGCUGGGUUGAAUGUUAUGAGAAUCAUCAAUGAGCCUACUGCUGCUGCUAUUGCUUAUGGCUUGGACAAGAAGGCAUCGAGGAGUGGUGAGAAGAACGUGCUGAUAUUCGAUCUCGGUGGUGGUACUUUUGAUGUUUCGUUGCUGACGAUUGAGGAGGGUAUCUUUGAAGUGAAGGCUACUGCUGGUGAUACUCAUCUUGGAGGUGAGGAUUUUGAUAACAGGCUUGUCAAUCAUUUUGUUGCCGAGUUUAGGAGGAAGCAUAAGAAAGAUAUUAGUGGCAACGCUAGAGCGUUGAGGCGUUUGCGGACGGCAUGUGAGCGGGCUAAGAGGACUCUGUCUUCUACAUCACAGACGACAAUUGAGAUUGAUUCGCUCUAUGAAGGCAUUGACUUCUAUGCGACAAUUACUAGGGCUAGGUUUGAAGAAUUGAACAUGGAUUUGUUCAGAAAAUGUAUGGAACCUGUGGAGAAAUGUCUUCGCGACUCAAAAAUUGAUAAGAGCCAGGUUCAUGAUGUUGUUCUUGUUGGUGGGUCAACAAGAAUUCCAAAAGUUCAACAAUUGUUGCAAGACUUCUUUAACGGGAAGGAACUGUGCAAGAGCAUAAACCCUGAUGAGGCUGUUGCUUAUGGAGCUGCUGUGCAGGCUGCUAUUUUGAGCGGUGAAGGGAAUGAGAAGGUUCAAGAUUUGCUGCUGCUUGAUGUUACACCUCUCAGCCUCGGUAUUGAGACUGCUGGCGGUGUAAUGACAACCUUGAUUCCAAGGAACACGACAAUUCCUACAAAGAAAGAGCAAAUUUUCUCAACUUAUUCAGACAAUCAGCCUGGUGUGUUGAUUCAGGUGUAUGAAGGUGAAAGAGCUAGAACAAAAGAUAACAAUCUGCUUGGGAAAUUCGAGCUCACGGGCAUUCCUCCGGCACCAAGAGGUGUUCCUCAGAUCAAUGUGUGCUUUGACAUUGAUGCUAAUGGUAUAUUGCAUGUCUCCGCAGAAGAUAAGACUGCUGGAGUGAAGAACCAGAUUACAAUCACCAACGAUAAGGGAAGAUUGAGCAAGGAGGAAAUUGAGAGAAUGGUGCAAGAGGCAGAGAAGUACAAGGCAGAGGAUGAAGAGGUAAAGAAGAAAGUAGAGGCCAAGAACUCAUUGGAGAAUUAUGCUUAUAACAUGAGGAACACUGUGAGAGAUGAGAAGUUUGCGGGAAAACUAGACCCGGCUGACAAGCAGAAGAUAGAGAAGGCCAUUGAUGAGGCUAUUGAGUGGCUUGAUGGGAACCAAUUGGCUGAGGUUGAUGAAUUGGAGGACAAGUUGAAGGAGUUGGAAGGCUUGUGCAACCCAAUUAUUGCAAAGAUGUAUCAAGGCGGGGCUAGUGGGGACGUACCGAUGGGUGGUGGUGCCGAGAUGCCGGGAGGCGGCCAUGGCAAGGCAGAGACUGGCGGUGCAGGUGGCGGACCUAAGAUUGAGGAAGUUGACUAAGGCAUGAAUGAGAGUCAUAGAGUGCUCUGUUUUGGGACUCAUCUGUUGUGGCUCCGUUUUUGCUGAUGCUCGAGGGCGAAUACCUGUGUAUGAUAUACAUUAGGUUUGAGGGGUUACUCAUGUUACUAUAGUGAUGUAAUCUAUAGUUGUCUGAAUGCUCUGCUAUGUACCUAUAGUUUACUUGAAUAUCAAAUUACAAUAAAAAUUUGAGCUCUAUUUUGGUGUGAUUUUUUCAUAUUUGAUAUUGUUAGCUCUAAAUUCUGAGAAGAAAUAAAUGUUACGAUUCGUUCCCAUGAUUGCUAAUUUUCUUACAACAAUAGCCUUCUGCUGAAAGAUGUUAUGAAGCAUCAAUGAUCAACUACAAAUCUCA
rnacentral:lncRNA from 1 species